rnacentral:lncRNA from 1 species
UUUCAUAAUCUUAUGGUAAAUAGUUUCGACUGCAAAGAUAGCAGGUUUGUUCUCAUAUCUGUUGUCUUUUUAAAUUGAAUUAGAGAAUACAGAUAAUCACUGAAAUCAGAUAUAAAUUUAUGUCACCAUUUAUAAUUGACAUUAUCGAAAUCAAUAGAACAUCUUCAUAUAGUUUUCCCCAGCUUUAGAAAUAUUUAGAACUUAUCAACUAUUUUAUAAAGACAUCGUUUUCUAUUAUCAUCAUAUAGAGGGCAUAUAAAAAAAAUAACACGAUCUUUAAAUGAGGGAAGGCAGCAAAAGUUUUUUGAAAAUUUGAUGAGGUAACAAAAACAAUAUUUUGUUCACUAACAACGACUUUUCAAAGCUAUAGGUACUACCAAGUUAGCAACAUGCUACAAAAGAUUAAUGCUACGGACAUAGUGAACGAUAAUAACAUUACGACAAAAACUGCGAUGAGAACAAUUUAUGAGCGCGUAAUUAUUGUAGACAACGACGAAUUUGUUAGCGAACUUUUAACGACA